UACAGAGGUCUCAACCGUUGUUCGGAUUCAUUGGGCGUAAAGGGUGCGUAGGCGGCGGGGCAAGUCAGGUGUGAAAUCUCGGGGCUCAACCCCGAAACUGCACUUGAUACUGCCUUGCUCGAGUACUGGAGAGGAGACUGGAAUUUACGGUGUAGCAGUGAAAUGCGUAGAUAUCGUAAGGAAGACCAGUGGCGAAGGCGAGUCUCUAGACAGUUACUGACGCUGAGGCACGAAGGCCAGGGGAGCAAACGGG
rnacentral:rRNA from 1 species